rnacentral:lncRNA from 1 species
CCACCCUUUGAUGUGUAGGGUUGUGAGAAUUUCUCCAACUACUGUCCAUCUUUUCCUACGAUUAGUUGUAGUUCUAGGCAUAAACUUGAUUGUUUUUUUGGUAUACUCAACACCCACAUCUUAGUGGGCACCCGCUUAUCUUAUUUUCUUUGCAAAACUUUUGCUCAUUAUCAAAGAUGAGAUUCCAAGUUUGUUUCCCUCCUUUUCACCAUGCGGAUUGAUGUAAAUCAAAGCCAAGCAAUGAUAGAUAAUGAAGCUUUUGAUUAAUGGUUAGAUAUUAUUCACUUUUGUACUACUAGAAUGAAAGUAGCUGCCAAAGCCUUCAAGUAUUAAGG